rnacentral:rRNA from 1 species
AUCAGUAGCCGACCUGAGAGGGUGAUCGGCCACAUUGGAACUGAGACCCGGUCCAAACUCCUACGGGAGGCAGCAGUGGGGAAUAUUGCACAAUGGGGGAAACCCUGAUGCAGCAACGCCGCGUGAAGGAAGAAGGCCUUUGGGUCGUAAACUUCUGUUCUAAGGGAAGAUAAUGACGGUACCUUAGGAGCAAGUCCCGGCUAACUACGUGCCAGCAGCCGCGGUAAUACGUAGGGGGCAAGCGUUAUCCGGAAUUAUUGGGCGUAAAGAGUACGUAGGUGGUUACCUAAGCACGAGGUAUAAGGCAAUGGCUUAACCAUUGUUCGCCUUGUGAACUGGGCUACUUGAGUGCAGGAGAGGAAAGCGGAAUUCCUAGUGUAGCGGUGAAAUGCGUAGAUAUUAGGAGGAACACCAGUGGCGAAGGCGGCUUUCUGGACUGUAACUGACACUGAGGUACGAAAGCGUGGGGAGCAAACAGGAUUAGAUACCCUGGUAGUCCACGCCGUAAACGAUGA